rnacentral:rRNA from 1 species
GAUGAACGCUGGCGGCGUGCUUAACACAUGCAAGUCGAACGGAAAGGCCCAAGCUUGCUUGGGUGCUCGAGUGGCGAACGGGUGAGUAACACGUGGGUGAUCUGCCCUGCACUUUGGGAUAAGCCUGGGAAACUGGGUCUAAUACCGGAUAGGACCAUCGUUUACUGUCGGUGGUGGGAAGUUUUUCGGUGGGGGAUGAGCUCGCGGCCUAUCAGCUUGUUGGUGGGGGAGUGGCUUACCAAGGCGUCGACGGGUAGCCGGCCUGGGAGGGUGACCGGCCACAUUGGGACUGAGAUACGGCCCAGACUCCUACGGGAGGCAGCAGUGGGGAAUAUUGCACAAUGGGCGGAAGCCUGAUGCAGCAACGCCGCGUGGGGGAUGACGGCCUUCGGGUUGUAAACCGCUUUCGCCAGGGACGAAGCGUUUGUGACGGUAAUGGGUAAAGAAACCCCGGCUAACUACGUG